rnacentral:rRNA from 1 species
UACGGAGGGGGCAAGCGUUGUUCGGAAUUACUGGGCGUAAAGGGCGCGCAGGCGGCUGCUCAAGUCAGGCGUGAAAGGCCUGGGCUCAACCCGGGAAUUGCGCUUGAGACUGGGCUGGCUUGAGUGCGGGAGAGGAUGGUGGAAUUCCCAGUGUAGAGGUGAAAUUCGUAGAUAUUGGGAAGAACACCGGUGGCGAAGGCGGCUCACUGGCUCGUUUCUGACGCUCAGGCGCGACAGCGUGGGGAUCAAACAGG